CCUACGGGAGGCAGCAGUGAGGAAUAUUGGUCAAUGGGCUUACGCCUGAACCAGCCAAGUCGCGUGAGGGAAGACUGCCCUAUGGGUUGUAAACCUCUUUUGUCAGGGAGCAACGCCGGCUACGUGUAGCCGGACUGAGAGUACCUGAAGAAAAAGCAUCGGCUAACUCCGUGCCAGCAGCCGCGGUAAUACGGAGGAUGCGAGCGUUAUCCGGAUUGAUUGGGUUUAAAGGUGGCGUAGGCGGAAUGCCAAGUCAGCGGUAAAAUCGCGGGGCUCAACCUCGCUCCGCCGUUGAAACUGGCGUUCUUGAGUGGGCGAGAAGUAUGCGGAAUGCGUGGUGUAGCGGUGAAAUGCAUAGAUAUCACGCAGAACUCCGAUUGCGAAGGCAGCAUACCGGCGCCCAACUGACGCUGAAGCACGAAAGCGUGGGUAUCGAACAGGAUUAGAUACCCCAGUAGUC
rnacentral:rRNA from 1 species